AAAGUAGCAAAGGAAGUGCAAUACAAAACACUGCAAACAAAAGUAGCAAAUAUCUAUGACAUCUGCGAAGGAAGUAGGAAGGCCACAGAGGAGAAGCUAUUUAUGAGACGAUGUGAACGGGAAGAGAAAGAAAAGAAGCUGUCAAUUGCCCAAGAUAAAGAGAAGUCAGCUAGUGAAGAAAUACUGUAUUUAAAGAAAAAAACUGAAGAAAUUCAAGAACAAGUGCAGAAAAAAGAGAAUCACCUUCAACACCAGAUCAUCAUUUAC